ACGGCGUUGAAAGCCUCUCACUAUAAAUAUAAAAACCUCAAAGCCAAACGUUAGCAUUUCAUUCCACAAGUCUAGAAACAAAAGCAUCCGCUGUUUCCAUUCGUUAAACACAAACGGCCAAAAAAAAACCCUUCCUUGCCGAUCUUCUCUGCAAUAGAGUGCGAACUUGCCCACUCAGAUUUCUGCCACCAAGUCAGUUUAGAGACACAAGAGAAUGAUUGUAACAUCGUUUGAAGAUUCUUUUAAUAACUGUUUGGAAUAAGCCAAUACAGAAGGAGAGAGGACGAUAGAGAGACGGUAACUCUGAAUAACCAUGAGAGACAGAAAGAUAAAUCUGAGGGGUGCCAUACAAGUUCUGUCAUCAACGUUAGGGCUGCUGCCCAUAAGUUCUGUUUUUAAUUUUAGAAAGUGGGGUUUUUUUUGGGAGAAUCAUUUGGGCAUUAUUUAUGAUUCAGUUGUGAUACAUAGGCUACAGUUCACAGAUCAUAGUGAUUGAGGCAUUGCAUUAGAACGAGUACCAAAAAUUUUGAAAGGUAAGUUUUUACAAAUGUUAACUUUUAAAAACCCACACCGGUUCAAUAUGUAACCACUCUAUCUGCCUUCUUAUAUACUGUUUCUUCUCUUCAAUUUUUCCCUUUUUGGGUUAUGCUCUUUUUCCUCCGCGGUAAGAAACCCAAUGACGCUUGAAAGAACAGGGGCCUGCCUUCACUAGCCUGCCACCACUGGUCAGCCAGCGAAAGCACCACCGGUUACUCAUAUGCAGUCAACGGAUAAUUUUGAUAGAGGAGAGUUGGUCUAAAAUUUCCCACGGCCAAGGUGGGAUGCAAAAUUGGGUGUGGAUACAUAGCUUGAGGUCAUUCACAGUGAAAGCUCCUACCUUUGCCUUGGAAUUUUUUAAAGGGCAUGCUCUGUAAAUACUUUUAUUCUGUUUUGAGAUGAUUAAAGAUUUAUCAUAAUUAUCUCAUUGGAAUUUUGGCAUGGUUAAAAAAAGGGGCAGUAAGGUAUAUAAAUGUGCACAUGCAUAAAUAUUUGUAUCAGUCCUGCCAAUUUGUAGUAAAGAAUUAUUAUCUUCAACUAUAAGAUUUUAGAAAAAUAUAUUGUUUCUUUAGCCAAUCUGAUUAUUUUGGUUUUGAUGUAAUAAUAUUAUUCUUCUUUUCUUUUUGGAAGGCAUAACAAAUUGAAGAUAUACUAUAUGAUAGUAGUUCUAAAACAAAACUAAAAAAUCAAACUAAAAUCAAAGUAGAAUUUUUAUUCAUAUAUAUAUAUAUAUAUAUAUAUAUUGUAUUGCUUUCAAAGUUGGCUAAAUUAAUAAUGUUUAUCAUGUGUUGGAUGGAAUUCAUGAUAUAUGUAAUGGUUAGUGGAACUCAUUUGCUGUUUCAUAUAUUAAUGUUUAGUAUUUUUAAAAUAGGCAAAUACUUCCAUUCUUCAUAUUUUUAUAAUAGGUCUUGAUGCCUACAACCUCCCAUUAAAGAUUAUGCCAUUUUUUUGUGUUUUGAAGUGCAUUGUUUUCCCAUAACGUUGUACUGUAACAAGAAUAACUCAAGAUGUUGGUUAUUGUGUCUUUUAUAUCACAAAGGUGUAACAAUGUAUAUUUUCUUUAUUUGUAAGCAGUCAAUUUACGUAUUUGCAAGCAAAUUUAGUAAGGACAAGUGAAAUGAUUUGUUGGUGGUAAUGUAGUUGAGAAGGUUUGGGAUUCAUAAAUCAACCUUUUUU